rnacentral:rRNA from 1 species
AGUGAACGCUGGCGGUAGGCCUAACACAUGCAAGUCGAACGGCAGCACAGUAAGAGCUCGUUCUUUCGGCUGGCGACUGGUGGAUGGUUCAUGAAUACAUCCGUAUCUAUUUUUUCGUGGGGGCUAACGUAGGGACACUUACCGCAUACGCCCUUACGACCUACGGGUGAAAGCUUGGGAUCUUCCGCUCUUGCAUGAUCCAAUGACGCGAUGUCGGAUUAGCUAGUUGGCGGGGUAAAGGCCCACCAAGGCGACGAUCCGUAGCUGGUCUGAGAGGAUGAUCAGCCACACUGGAACUGAGACACGGUCCAGACUCCUACGGGAGGCAGCAGUGGGGAAUAUUGGACAAUGGGCGCAAGCCUGAUCCAGCCAUGCCGCGUGUGCGAAGAAGGUCUUCGGGUUGUAAAGCCCUUUUGGUGGGAAAGAAAAGCAGCAAGUUAAUACCCCGCUGUUCUGACGGUACCCAAAGAAUAAGCACCGGCUAACUUCGUG